CUUCAAAGUACUUACCUUGGUAUUCUAUGUACCAUAGUGCUACCAUUGCUAGAUGAACUUUUGCAAUUUCUUUCUAUGUGAGGCAGUUUACAAAGUAUAAAAGAAAAUCAAUUACCACUUAGUAAUAUUUCAUUUUUGACCAAAUACAAUAUUACCUUAUUUCCUGAGUUGAGCCUUAAACUUAUUCACUAACUCUAAAUCCAAAUCACUUUUGGGUAUUUCUAAAAAUCAAAUGAACCUACCAUGAAAAGAAGUUUGUCACCAUUGUGAAGCCUACUUUUCUCUGAACUAACACUGUCCUCUCCUACCUUUUUGUCCUUGGAGAUUCCUGGAGAGGAAUUGUAUUUCUCAAUCUCAUCUUUUCUCAGAAAAGGACCCAACUCAUUGACCAUCUCUACCCUGAAACCCGAACUGAUUUCUUUAGUCAGACAUUUUCCUACUUUUUGAAUUCCUCAGACUAGUCCAUUAUAUGGAUAUAAUAAUUUUCUACUUUUCAUUAUUCUUAUUUGUAGAAGCGGUGUGAUAUCAUGGACAGAGAACUAGUCUUGGGGGUAGGAAGAUCUGAGUUCAAAUCCAGACUCUGACAUAUACUGACUGUGUGAUCUUAGGAGUCAUAUAUUUUGGAGUUUCCUGUAUUCAGUAAGGUGUCACACAUAGAAUGGAGAAUCUUGAGAAGUUUAUCCAUUUUAAAGGAUUCAUCUUCAAAUUAGACUCUGUAUUGGAUGUCUUCUAUGACAGUGAUGAAUAUAUUUGGAGAAUAGAACAAAAGUACCUGACAGGAAAUUGAAAACCAAGAAUAAAGAACCCUUACAGGAGAAUAUAAGCUCA
rnacentral:lncRNA from 1 species